rnacentral:rRNA from 1 species
CCUACGGGUGGCAGCAGUGGGGAAUAUUGGACAAUGGGCGAAAGCCUGAUCCAGCCAUGCCGCGUGUGUGAAGAAGGCCUUCGGGUUGUAAAGCACUUUCAGUGGGGAAGAAAGCCUUGGGGCUAAUACCCUCGAGGAAGGACAUCACCCACAGAAGAAGCACCGGCUAACUCCGUGCCAGCAGCCGCGGUAAUACGGAGGGUGCGAGCGUUAAUCGGAAUUACUGGGCGUAAAGCGCGCGUAGGCGGUCUGAUAAGCCGGUUGUGAAAGCCCCGGGCUCAACCUGGGAACGGCAUCCGGAACUGUCCGGCUAGAGUGCAGGAGAGGAAGGUAGAAUUCCAGGUGUAGCGGUGAAAUGCGUAGAGAUCGGGAGGAAUACCAGUGGCGAAGGCGGCCUUCUGGACUGACACUGACGCUGAGGUGCGAAAGCGUGGGUAGCAAACAGGAUUAGAUACCCGAGUAGUC